GCCCAAGUGGCGGAAUUGGUAGACGCGCUAGAUUCAGGGUCUAGUGGCCGUUAAGGUCGUGCAAGUUCGAGUCUUGUCUUGGGCA
rnacentral:tRNA from 1 species